ensembl:lncRNA
CUUAUGGUUUUGAAGUAACUAGCUAAUUAUCAAACACAUCUUAUAGUUUUGAAGUAACUAGCUAUCAUCAAAACAUCUUAUAGUUUUGAAGUAACUAGCUAAUUAUCAAACACAUCUUAUAGUUUUGAAGUAACUAGCUAAUCAUCAAAACAUCUUAUGGUUUUGAAGUAACUAGCUAUUAUCAAACACAUCUUAUAGUUUUGAAGUAACUAGCUAAUCAUCAAAACAUCUUAUGGUUUUGUAAUAACUAGCUAAUUAUCAAACACAUCUUAUAGUUUUGAAGUAACUAGCUAAUCAUCAAACAUCUUAUAGUUUUGAAGUAACUAGCUAAUUAUCAAACACAUCUUAUGGUUUUGGAAUAACUAGCUAAUUAUCAAACACAUCUUAUAGUUUUGAAGUAACUAGCUAAUUAUCAAAAACAUCUUAUGGUUUUGAAGUAACUAGCUAAUUAUCAAAACAUCUUAUGGUUUUGAAGUAACUAGCUAAUUAUCAAACACAUCUUAUAGUUUUGAAGUAACUAGCUAAUCAUCAAAACAUCUUAUAGUUUUGAAGUAACUAGCUAAUUAUCAAACACAUCUUAUGGUUUUGAAGUAACUAGCUAAUCAUCAAAAACAUCUUAUAGUUUUGAAGUAACUAGCUAAUUAUCAAACAUCUUAUAGUUUUGAAGUAACUAGCUAAUUAUCAAAACAUCUUAUGGUUUUGAAGUAACUAGCUAAUUAUCAAAACAUCUUAUGGUUUUGAAGUAACUAGCUAAUUAUCAAAACAUCUUAUGGUUUUGAAGUAACUAGCUAAUCAUCAAAAACAUCUUAUAGUUUUGAAGUAACUAGCUAAUUAUCAAAACAUCUUAUGGUUUUGAAGUAACUAGCUAAUUAUCAAAACAUCUUAUAGUUUUGAAGUAACUAGCUAUUUAUCAAAACAUCUUAUAGUUUUGAAGUAACUAG